GUGGGGAAUCUUAGACAAUGGGGGAAACCCUGAUCUAGCCAUGCCGCGUGAGCGAUGAAGGCCUUAGGGUUGUAAAGCUCUUUCAGCUGGGAAGAUAAUGACGGUACCAGCAGAAGAAGCCCCGGCUAACUCCGUGCCAGCAGCCGCGGUAAUACGGAGGGGGCUAGCGUUGUUCGGAAUUACUGGGCGUAAAGCGCACGUAGGCGGAUCAGAAAGUCAGAGGUGAAAUCCCAGGGCUCAACCUUGGAACUGCCUUUGAAACUCCUGGUCUUGAGGUCGAGAGAGGUGAGUGGAAUUCCGAGUGUAGAGGUGAAAUUCGUAGAUAUUCGGAAGAACACCAGUGGCGAAGGCGACUGACUGGACAAGUAUUGACGCUGAGGUGCGAAAGCGUGGGGAGCAAACAGGAUUAGAAACCCGGGUAGUCC
rnacentral:rRNA from 1 species